rnacentral:misc_RNA from 1 species
UCUGGCUUAUAGCCCAGCGGUCUCGCUAAAGUACCCAACUUAAUGCUGGUAACUAGCGACGAGGGUUGCGCUCGUUGCGGGACUUAACCCAACAUCUCACAACACGAGCUGACGACAGCCAUGCAGCACCUGUCUCCACGUCUCCGAAGAGAACCCCGGCUUUCACCGGGUAGCGUGGGAUGUCAAGCCUAGGUAAGGUUCUUCGCGUAGCAUCGAAUUAAACCACAUGCUCCACCGCUUGUGCGGGCCCCCGUCAAUUCCUUUGAGUUUUAAUCUUGCGAUCGUAAUUCCCAGGCGGAAUACUUAAUGCGUUAGCUGCGUCACCGAGGCAAUUAGAAACCCCGACAACUAGUAUUCAUCGUUUAGGGCGUGGACUAC